UGCAGGGCGCUGGUAGCGGUCACAGCAAAGCAAUGAGUGAGCUGCGCGGGGUGUGUCGGGGAGAUGCUGAAGGAUAACGCAGUUAAAAGCACUUAAGCGGCAAGAUACGACUGGCACGUGCAAAUAGGUAUAACCUGGCCUUGGCUUUGGGGGAAUAUAAUUGUUUGUGUGAUUUUAAAUCACAGAAUCAGCUGGGUUGGAAAGAACCUCUGAGAUCAAGUCCAACCCUUCAUUUUUUGUAUUUUUUUUUUUAAUCCAGUCCGGGUUUCCCCCCAUUCCGUACUCCGGCCAAAAUCCAGUUUGGGUUUUCCCCCCAUUCUGUACUCCGGAAAAAUCCAGUCCUGGUUUUCCCCCAUUCCGUAGUCCGGAAAAAUCCAGUCCGGGUUUUUUCCCUUUCCGUGCUCCAGACAAAUUCCAGUCCGGAUUUUCCUCCACCCCCGAGAAAUUAUUCAAACCGUCUUAAAUGGGGCCUGAACGGGAAUAGAGGCAAGGAUGGAAAGGAGAUCCUGCUCCAGGACUGUUCACAACCGAACGGAAAGAAAAGCGCUACAGGUCCUCUCUGCUGGACAAGAGGUACGCGGUUGCAGGAACAGGGCUAGGUAAGUGCCCGGAGGUAAGAGAGCCUCCAGAUCGAAACAAGGCUGCUUCAAGCAACCAGGGGAAGCAAAUAGCGCCGAAACAAAAAAGACGGGAGAAAUACCUGCCCGGAACAAAAACUGCUCAGGGAAUGGGGUCUAAAUAUGUCCUCAGAGCAAAAGAGAGUUUACGAAGCGAUAAAACGCCUCUUUAAACAACAUGAGGCCGUCUCCGACACGCCGCCCAGCCCGCGAACUCGUUUGCAGACCAGGAGAACUACGAGACCGGCUCCCUCAGCAACUCCGAGCCACCCAGCACGGCCCCGAACCUGCCUUUCCAUCUCCGAGGGUGAGGGCGGCAAGGAGGACCAGCUCGGGGGGAGGGGCCGUACGCAAGCUGCUUUCAGCAAAAAGGAAAAGAACUAUUACCGGAUUCCUGCAAUAUCUGCAAAUGAGAAAUGAAAUCGACUUCAAAACCCACACGGAACAUGAACUUGAACAAGCAGCAACAGACCAGAAACUGUGAAGUAAAAAUCACCGAAUACCUUGCCUUUUGUGUUUGCAGCAGAAUCUCUUAGUGUAACACAUACUAUUAAGUUUUGUUUUGUUGUUAAGAUAACGUUUCCCUGUGUUUCCUAAUUGUUUCAGCAAAAGAAAAGAUUCCCUAAUAAUUCAUAUUAAGAUUCAUGCAGGAUUUCAUGCGAAUAAUCAAAUCAGGUUAUACCAAAAAAGCUCACAGCAUCUGCUUUUAAUAAGUUGCCACUUUAAACACAUAUUUGCCUCAUUGCUUUUACCCUAACACACACCAUACAUCACUGACAAACUGCAGAGAUACAAAAGGACUAGAAAGUUCCAAACAAGACCACAUGGCUGUGACAGCUAUAAAAGGCACUGUGUUUACAUACAGAUUGGAUUUAAAGAGUUUUCUAGGUUUAUGCAAUAAAAACAGGUCCAACAAAGCAAAGUUUUAACAGGUUGAAGUGAAUAGCAAGACUUUCAUAUGCUUCUUAAAACUGACUAUAAAGAUAUGCAGGCACCUUUAAACAGCUAUGACUCCUUCAUAUGCCUAUAUAAUGCCAAGCUUUGUGGCUCAAAUUAUUCUGACAUAUAUAAUCAUACUUUCCAUUUCAGGUAUAUAAAAAGCUACACACUGCCUUGAAAAAAGAGUCUUCUUGCUAAAAUGAAUUCUCACUUGUGGUGUUAAAAGUAAGGCUGUAGAAUUUUGUUCUUAGCUCAUUCUAAGUCAAUACAUCAAAGCAUUGAUAAGCAUGUUUAGUUACCUUGAUAAGCUUGUCAAAUAAAGUAUUCAGUUUUGGACCCUCA